rnacentral:lncRNA from 1 species
AGGAGGCCUCUAUCAGAGCAAAGAAUUUGGAGCUGCUUCCAAUCUGAAACUUCCUUAGCGUUGUAAAAAGCACCCUUCAUUCGAAAUCGCUCAGUGCCUGGACUCAGAGAAAGUGGGAGAGUUACCAAGGCUCGGCCCCCAAGGCACAGUGAGAAGAAACUGAGGCAAUGCCAAGAACACCCCGACCUCAUGAGCUUCAAAGAAGCUGCUGCUGCAGUUCCCGGUUCUGAGGCACCUCCAAGACCACUCUCAUCCAAACUCUCAAAACACUCCCCUUGGGUGAGCUGUCCCUUAAAAGGAACAGGGCUGGGCCUUCACAAAGGCUCCUGUGACUGUGAGACUUCUACCCCCUAUGGGUCUGGUAGCACCAAGGGAUUUCUCAUGCUAUGACCACAGACAUCAUCAAGAGGGUAGAGAGACCAAGUGGCCAGUGAAUUGGCACACAUGAAGAUUCUUUGUGAUCUGUAAAGAAAGUGUAAAAUCUGCAACAAACUGUGGAAUAAUCUGACAUAGGAAGAGGUGGAUGGUACAGAAGAACAAUAAAAUAAUAGCCAGCC